UACGUAGGGUGCGAGCGUUAAUCGGAAUUACUGGGCGUAAAGCGUGCGCAGGCGGUUGUGCAAGACAGUUGUGAAAUCCCCGGGCUCAACCUGGGAACUGCAUCUGUGACUGUAUAGCUAGAGUACGGUAGAGGGGGAUGGAAUUCCGCGUGUAGCAGUGAAAUGCGUAGAUAUGCGGAGGAACACCGAUGGCGAAGGCAAUCCCCUGGACCUGUACUGACGCUCAUGCACGAAAAGCGUGGGGAGCAAACAGG
rnacentral:rRNA from 1 species